AACGCGUUGGCCCAAUUGAUUGAUGGUGCUUGCACCUGAUUGAUUUUGGUCGCCAACGAGUGGCGGACGGGUGAGUAACACGUAGGUAACCUGCCCAGAAGCGGGGGACAACAUUUGGAAACAGAUGCUAAUACCGCAUAACAACGUUGUUCGCAUGAACAACGCUUAAAAGAUGGCUUCUCGCUAUCACUUCUGGAUGGACCUGCGGUGCAUUAGCUUGUUGGUGGGGUAAUGGCCUACCAAGGCGAUGAUGCAUAGCCGAGUUGAGAGACUGAUCGGCCACAAUGGGACUGAGACACGGCCCAUACUCCUACGGGAGGCAUCAGUAGGGAAUCUUCCACAAUGGGCGCAAGCCUGAUGGAGCAACACCGCGUGAGUGAAGAAGGGUUUCGGCUCGUAAAGCUCUGUUGUUAAAGAAGAACACGUAUGAGAGUAACUGUUCAUACGUUGACGGUAUUUAACCAGAAAGUCACGGCUAACUACGUGCCAGCAGCCGCGGUAAUACGUAGGUGGCAAGCGUUAUCCGGAUUUAUUGGGCGUAAAGAGAGUGCAUGCGGUUUUCUAAGCCUGAUGUGAAAGCCUUCGGCUUAACCGGAGAAGUGCAUCGGAAACUGGAUAACUUGAGUGCAGAAGAGGGUAGUGGAACUCCAUGUGUAGCGGUGGAAUGCGUAGAUAUAUGGAAGAACACCAGUGGCGAAGGCGGCUACCUGGUCUGCAACUGACGCUGAGACUCGAAAGCAUGGGUAGCGAACAGGAUUAGAUACCCUGGUAGUCCAUGCCGUAAACGAUGAGUGCUAGGUGUUGGAGGGUUUCCGCCCUUCAUGCCGGAGCUAACGCAUUAAGCACUCCGCCUGGGGAGUACGACCGCAAGGUUGAAACUCAAGG
rnacentral:rRNA from 1 species